UUCUCCAGGGAGCUGUGAUUACAGCAGAUGGAUGUGCAGGGCUGCGUGCUCUCCUCAGAUGCACUGAGGACCUCCAGUCAAAGCACUGCGGUCAGCCAGAAGUUCUUGGACAGACGGUGGGAGUUAAGUGCAUGAAAUCCAACACUCCGUGUCAUAUACCAGAGGCUGAGCCAGCUCAUCCCGCUCGAAACUCCGACUAAAAACAUCAUCUAAAAACAGCUCCUCGUGCUGGUGCCCAGAGGGGAGGAGCAGAACCCAGCGGGCACAGACGGAGCUUCAAUAAAUAGCGGAGCCUACAGGACCGGGAGGGGAUGGGAAGGAUGUCACAAUGACAGCAGCAGCUCUGCACAGGUUGGGAUGCAGGAUGUGCAGCUGCCAUGCACCCGGUGCACCCUGCACAUGGCUGUGGUGAGGUCACAGCUCCCCUGCAGCCUGGCCGGCUCUUGGAGCUGGUAAUGAAUGCUACAAGAGUAUCGUGGUUUUCUUAUUACCAAUUAAAUGAGCUUUCCCGGGGUUGAAAACCAAUCAUUUUUCCUUAAAAGCUUCAUGUAUCAGAUAGACACAGCAUU
rnacentral:lncRNA from 7 species